UACGGGGGGUGCAAGCGUUAAUCGGAAUUACUGGGCGUAAAGGGUGCGUAGGCGGUCUUGUAAGUUACUUGUGAAAUUCCUGGGCUUAACCUAGGGUGGACGGGUGAUACUGCGAGACUGGAGUAUGGGAGAGGGCAUUGGAAUUUCCGGUGUAGCGGUGAAAUGCGUAGAUAUCGGAAGGAACACCAGUGGCGAAGGCGGAUGCCUGGCCCAAUACUGACGCUGAGGCACGAAAGCGUGGGUAGCGAACAGG
rnacentral:rRNA from 1 species